AUGUAUUCAUACACCUGGACUUAUUCCUUCAGAAUGUAUUCAUACACCUGGACUUAUUCCAACAGAAUGUAUUCAUACCCCUGGACUUAUUCCUGCAGAAUGUAUUCAUACCCCUGGACUUAUUCCAACAGAAUGUAUUCAUACCCCUGGACUUAUUCCUGCAGAAUGUAUUCAUACCCCUGGACUUAUUCCAACAGAAUGUAUUCAUACCCCUGGACUUAUUCCUGCAGAAUGUAUUCAUACCCCUGGACUUAUUCCAACAGAAUGUAUUCAUACCCAUGGACUUAUUCCAACAGAAUGUAUUCAUACCCCUGGACUUAUUCCAACAGAAUGUAUUCAUACCCCUGGACUUAUUCCUUCAGAAUGUAUUCAUACCCCUGGACUUAUUCCUUCAGAAUGUAUUCAUACCCCUGGACUUAUUCCUUCAGAAUGUAUUCAUACCCCUGGACUUAUUCCUUCAGAAUGUAUUCAUACCCCUGGACUUAUUCCUUCAGAAUGUAUUCAUACCCCUGGACUUAUUCCUUCAGAAUGUAUUCAUACCCCUGGACUUAUUCCUUCAGAAUGUAUUCAUACCCCUGGACUUAUUCCUUCAAAAUGUAUUCAUACCCCUGGACUUAUUCCUUCAGAAUGUAUUCAUACCCCUGGACUUAUUCCAUCAGAAUGUAUUCAUACCCCUGGACUUAUUCCAUCAGAAUGUAUUCAUACCCCUGGACGUAUUCCUGCAGAAUGUAUUCAUACCCCUGGACUUAUUCCAACAGAAUGUAUUCAUACCCAUGGACUUAUUCCAACAGAAUGUAUUCAUACCCCUGGACUUAUUCCAUCAGAAUGUAUUCAUACCCCUGGACUUAUUCCUUCAGAAUGUAUUCAUACCCCUGGACUUAUUCCUUCAGAAUGUAUUCAUACCCCUGGACUUAUUCCUUCAGAAUGUAUUCAUACCCCUGGACUUAUUCCUUCAGAAUGUAUUCAUACCCCUGGACUUAUUCCUUCAGAAUGUAUUCAUACCCCUGGACUUAUUCCUUCAGAAUGUAUUCAUACCCCUGGACUUAUUCCAACAGAAUGUAUUCAUACCCCUGGACUUAUUCCUUCAGAAUGUAUUCAUACCCCUGGACUUAUUCCUUCAGAAUGUAUUCAUAUCCUGCUGGACUUAUUCCACAUGUUGUGUUACAGCCUGAAUUCAACACAGAUUAG
rnacentral:lncRNA from 1 species